ACUCCUACGGGAGGCAGCAGUGGGGAAUAUUGCACAAUGGGGGAAACCCUGAUGCAGCCAUGCCGCGUGUGUGAAGAAGGCCUUCGGGUUGUAAAGCACUUUCAGUAGGGAGGAAGGUAGUGUAGUUAACACCUGCAUUAUUUGACGUUACCUACAGAAGAAGCACCGGCUAACUCCGUGCCAGCAGCCGCGGUAAUACGGAGGGUGCGAGCGUUAAUCGGAAUUACUGGGCGUAAAGCGCAUGCAGGCGGCCUGUUAAGUCAGAUGUGAAAGCCCGGGGCUUAACCUCGGAAUUGCAUUUGAAACUGGCAGGCUAGAGUCUUGUAGAGGGGGGUAGAAUUUCAGGUGUAGCGGUAGAAAUGCGUAGAGAUCUGAAGGAAUACCAGUGGCGAAGGCGGCCCCCUGGACAAAGACUGACGCUCAGAUGCGAAAAGCGUGGGGAGCAAACAGGAUUAGAUACCCUGGUAGGAUAGCG
rnacentral:rRNA from 1 species